UGCGUAGGCGGUCUACUAAGUUGGAUGUGAAACCCCCGGGCUUAACCUGGGGCCUGCAUCUAAUACUGGCGGACUAGAGUGCAGGAGAGGGAAGCGGAAUUCCUAGUGUAGCGGUGAAAUGCGUAGAUAUUAGGAGGAACACCAGUGGCGAAGGCGGCUUUCUGGACUGUAACUGGCGCUGAGGCACGAAAGCGUGGGGAGCAAACA
rnacentral:rRNA from 1 species